rnacentral:rRNA from 1 species
GGCGGCGUGCCUAAUACAUGCAAGUAGAACGCUGAAGAGAGGAGCUUGCUCUUCUUGGAUGAGUUGCGAACGGGUGAGUAACGCGUAGGUAACCUGCCUUGUAGCGGGGGAUAACUAUUGGAAACGAUAGCUAAUACCGCAUAACAAUGGAUGACACAUGUCAUUUAUUUGAAAGGGGCAAUUGCUCCACUACAAGAUGGACCUGCGUUGUAUUAGCUAGUAGGUGAGGUAACGGCUCACCUAGGCGACGAUACAUAGCCGACCUGAGAGGGUGAUCGGCCACACUGGGACUGAGACACGGCCCAGACUCCUACGGGAGGCAGCAGUAGGGAAUCUUCGGCAAUGGGGGCAACCCUGACCGAGCAAACGCCCGCGUGAGUGAAAGAAGGUUUUCGGAUCGUAAAGCUCUGUUGUAAAGUCAAGAAAC